rnacentral:rRNA from 1 species
GUGAGGAAUAUUGGUCAAUGGGCGCAAGCCUGAACCAGCCAUCCCGCGUGCAGGAAGACGGCCCUAUGGGUUGUAAACUGCUUUUCCGGGGGGAGAAUUUUUCCGUCGUGACGGGAAUUGACGGUACCCCGGGAAUAAGCAUCGGCUAACUCCGUGCCAGCAGCCGCGGUAAUACGGAGGAUGCGAGCGUUCUCCGGAUUUACUGGGUUUAAAGGGUGCGUAGGCGGAAUGAUAAGUCAGUGGUGAAAACCUGCAGCUUAACUGUAGACUUGCCGUUGAUACUGUCAGUCUUGAGUGUGGUCAAGGUAGGCGGAAUGUGUAAUGUAGCGGUGAAAUGCUUAGAUAUUACACAGAACACCGAUUGCGAAGGCAGCUUACUGGGCCAUUACUGACGCUGAUGCACGAAAGCGUGGGGAUCGAACAGGAUUAGAAACCCGAGUAGUCC